rnacentral:rRNA from 1 species
AUUGAACGCUGGCGGCAGGCCUAACACAUGCAAGUCGAGCGAGCGGCGGACGGGUGAGUAAUGUCUGGGAAACUGCCUGAUGGAGGGGGAUAACUACUGGAAACGGUAGCAAAUACCGCAUACCAUCAGAUGUGACAAGAUGGGAUUAGCUAGUGGGUGGGGUAACGUCUUACCAAGGCGACCAGCCCUAGCUGGGCUGAGAGGAUGACCAGCAACACUGGAACUGAGACACGGUCCAGACUCCGACGUGAGGCAGCAGUGGGGAAUAUUGCACAAUGGGCGCAAGCCUGAUGCAGCCAUGCCGCGUGUGUGAAGAAGGCCUGCGGGUUGUAAAGCACUUUCAGCGGGGAGGCGUUACCCGCAGAAGAAGCACCGGCUAACUCCGUGCCAGCAGCCGCGGUAAUAC